GAUGAAGAACGUAGCGAAAUGCGAUAAGUAAUGUGAAUUGCAGAAUUCAGUGAAUCAUCGAAUCUUUGAACGCCCAUUGCGCCCGCCAGUAUUCUGGCGGGCAUGCCUGUUCGAGCGUCAUUUCAACCAUCAAGCCCCCGGCUUGGGUUGGGGACCUGCGGCUGCCGCAGGCCCUGAAAACCAGUGGCGGGCUCGCUAGUCACUCCGAGCGUAGUAAUACAUCUCGCUCAGGGCGUGCUGCGGGUUCCGGCCGUUAAAAAGCCUUAUUUACCCAAGGUUGACCUCGGAUCAGGUAGGAAGACCCGCUGAACUUAAGCAUAUCAAUAAGCGGAGGA
rnacentral:misc_RNA from 1 species